rnacentral:rRNA from 1 species
UUUAAAUAGCUGCAGUAAUUUAACUGUACAAAGGUAGCAUAAUAAUUAGUCUUUUAAUUGAGGUCUAGAAUGAAUGGUUUAACAAGAAGUAAACUUUAUUAAUUCAAUUAAGUGAAAUUUAUUUUUUAGUUAAAAAGCUAAAAUUUAAAAAUGGGACGAUAAGACCCUUUAGAUCUUUAAAUUUUAAUUAAAUAACAAUAUUAAUGUGGAUAUAAUUUUUAUUUUAAAAAAUUUUUUGUUGGGGUGACAGCUAAAAUUUUAAACCUUUAGUGUUUUAUACCAUUUUUUUAUGUAAUUUUGAACCUUAAUUUAGGGUUAAUAAAAUAAGAUACCUUAGGGAUAACAGCAUAAUAAAUUUGUAAAGUUCAUAUAUAUAAAUUUGAUUGUGACCUCGAUGUUGAAUUAAUCUAGAAUUCUGGGGCAGAAAAUAGAAUUUUAGGUCUGUUCGACCUUUAAAAGAUUACA